rnacentral:rRNA from 1 species
AUUGCCUCGCUACGGCGAGUGAGCGGCAAAAGCUCAAAUUUGAAAUCUAGCACUUUCAGUGUUCGAGUUGUAAUUUGAAGAAGGUAACUUUGGUUUUGGCUCUUGUCUAUGUUCCUUGGAACAGGACGUCACAGAGGGUGAGAAUCCCGUGCGAUGAGAUGCCCAAUUCCAUGUAAAGUGCUUUCGAAGAGUCGAGUUGUUUGGGAAUGCAGCUCUAAGUGGGUGGUAAAUUCCAUCUAAAGCUAAAUAUUGGCGAGAGACCGAUAGCGAACAAGUACAGUGAUGGAAAGAUGAAAAGAACUUUGAAAAGAGAGUGAAAAAGUACGUGAAAUUGUUGAAAGGGAAGGGCUUGAGAUCAGACUUGGUAUUUUGCGUUCCCUUCCUUUUUGGUUGGGUUCCUCGCAGUUUACUGGGCCAGCAUCGGUUUGGAUGGUAGGAUAAUGACAUUGGAAUGUAGCUUUACUUCGGUGAAGUGUUAUAGACUUUGUUGAUACUGCCUAUCUAGACCGAGGACUGCGUCUUUGACUAGGAUGCUGGCGUAAUGAUCUUAAGCCGCCCGUCUUGAA